rnacentral:rRNA from 1 species
ACGCUCGACACCUACAGGAGGCAGCAGGUGGGGAAUAUUGCACAAUGGGGGAAACCCUGAUGCAGCAACGCCGCGUGAAGGAAGACGGUUUUCGGAUUGUAAACUUCUGUUCUUAGUGAAGAUAGUGACGGUAGCUAAGGAGCAAGCCACGGCUAACUACGUGCCAGCAGCCGUGGUAAUCUGAGCGGGCUGGCAAGGC